GCGGCCAUGGCGGAAUUGGUAGACGCGUACGUUUGAGGGGCGUAUGACCUAGUCAUGAGAGUUCGAUUCUCUCUGGCCGCA
rnacentral:tRNA from 1 species